UACAGAGGUGGCAAGCGUUGUUCGGAAUUACUGGGCGUAAAGGGCGCGUAGGUGGCCGAGCAAGGUCGCGGUGAAAGCCCGGGGCUCAACCCCGGGUCGGCCGUGCGGACUGCCGGGCUGGAGCACUGUAGAGGCAGGUGGAAUUCCGGGUGUAGCGGUGGAAUGCGUAGAGAUCUGGAAGAACACCGGUGGCGAAGGCGGCCUGCUGGGCAGUAGCUGACGCUGAAGCGCGACAGCGUGGGGAGCAAACAGG
rnacentral:rRNA from 1 species